GAGGAUUCCUUGGAAGAGAGGGAAUACGAUGGUGUUGAGGAGGAUGAUAAUGUCACCAUUGGAGAUUAUGGGGCCCGAAUGAGAUUGCAAGGAGCUUCUAAAUACGUUUCCAUGUAUUCCCAACAAGGAAAAAAAGGGGUUAAUCAGGAUGCCAUGACUGUUUGGGAGGAAUUUAUUGGUAAUAAAGGUAUGUUUUUCUGUGGAGUGUUUGACGGUCAUGGUCCCUACGGCCACAAGGUUGCUCGCCAUGUUCGUGAUACUUUACCCUCUAGGCUCUCCACCGCUAUCAAACUAUCACAGGUUAAUAACUUAAGAUAUGGUGAUGAUGCUGUCGAUGGAAACGAUAGUGAUGGAGCAGAUAAAAGUGAUGCUAGU
rnacentral:misc_RNA from 1 species